AAAUUGAAGAGUUUGAUCAUGGCUCAGAUUGAACGCUGGCGGCAGGCCUAACACAUGCAAGUCGAACGGUAACAGGAAGCAGCUUGCUGCUUUGCUGACGAGUGGCGGACGGGUGAGUAAUGUCUGGGAAACUGCCUGAUGGAGGGGGAUAACUACUGGAAACGGUGGCUAAUACCGCAUAACGUCGCAAGAACAAAGAGGGGGACCUUCGGGCCUCUUGCCAUCAGAUGUGCCCAGAUGGGAUUAGCUUGUUGGUGAGG
rnacentral:rRNA from 1 species